GGCGCAAGCCCUGAAGCCGUUGAGUCUAUGCUGCCUAGAAAAGCUCCUAAGUAUAUCCGCAGCAAUCCGUACCGCAAACCAACUCAGGUGGGUGGGAUGAACAAUCCAAGGCGCUCGAGAGAACUCUGGCCAAGGAACUCGGCAAAAUAACCCCGUAACUUCGGAAGAAGGGGUGCUCUCUAGGGUGACAUGUUCAACAUAUGAAGCCCCGGAGAGCCGCAGUGAAUUGGUGGUGGCGACUGUUUACUAAAAACAUAGGUCUGUGCGAAGUCCUAAAGACGACGUAUACGGACUGACGCCUGCCCGGUGCUGGAAGGUUAAAAGGAGGAGUCAGCGCAAGCAAAGCUCCGAAUUGAAGCCCCAGUAAACGGCGGCCGUAACUAUAACGGUCCUAAGGUAGCGAAAUUCCUUGUCGGGUAAGUUCCGACCUGCACGAAUGGCGUAACGAUCUCCACACUGUCUCGGCCAGAGACUCGGUGAAAUUGCAGUCGCGGUGAAAAUUCCGUGUACCCGCAGAAAGACGGAAAGACCCUGUGCACCUUUACUAUAGCUUGACAUUGGAUUUUGGGCCUGCAUGUGUAGGAUAGGUGGGAGGCUGUGAACCCUGUACGCCAGUAUGGGGGGAGCCAUCGUUGAAAUACCACCCUUGCAUGUUUAAGAUCCUAACUUCUUCCGGUCAUCCCGGAGAAAGACAGUGUCUGGCGGGUAGUUUGACUGGGGCGGUCGCCUCCUAAAGUGUAACGGAGGCAUGCAAAGGUUCCCUCAGCCUGAUCGGAAACCAGGCGCUGAGUGCAAACGCAUAAGGGAGCUUGACUGUAAGAGAGACAUCUCGAACAGGAACGAAAGUUGGCGUUAGUGAUCCGGUGGUCCCGAAUGGAAGGGCCAUCGCUCAUUGGAUAAAAGGUACGCCGGGGAUAACAGGCUGAUCGCAUCCAAGAGUUCACAUCGACGAUGCGGUUUGGCACCUCGAUGUCGGCUCAUCACAUCCUGGGGCUGAAGCAGGUCCCAAGGGUACGGCUGUUCGCCGUUUAAAGUGGUACGCGAGCUGGGUUUAAAACGUCGUGAGACAGUUUGGUCCCUAUCUUCUGUGGGCGAAGGAGAAUUGAGAGGGCCUGUCCCUAGUACGAGAGGACCGGGAUGGACGCACCCCUGGUGAUCCUGUUGUCGCGCCAGCGGCACAGCAGGGUAGCUAUGUGCGGAAGGGAUAACCGCUGAAAGCAUCUAAGCGGGAAGCCUGCCUCAAGAUAAGUUCUCCCCUCGAAAGAGCUGAAGGGCCCGGGUAGACUACCCGGUCGAUAGGCUGGAGGUGUAAGCGCGGCGACGCGCUCAGCUGACCAGUACUAAUAGCCCGAGCGGCUUAUUU
rnacentral:rRNA from 1 species